AUUGAACGCUGGCGGCAGGCCUAACACAUGCAAGUCGAGCGCGAAAGGUCUUCGGACUGAGUAGAGCGGCGGACGGGUGAGUAACGCGUAGGAAUUUGCCCAGUAGUGGGGGACAACAGUUAGAAAUGACUGCUAAUACCGCAUACGCCCUACGGGGGAAAGCAGGGGAUCUUCGGACCUUGCGCUAUUGGAGAAGCCUGCGUCGGAUUAGCUAGUUGGUAGGGUAAAGCCUACCAAGGCGACGAUCCGUAGCUGGUCUGAGAGGAUGAUCAGCCACACUGGGACUGAGACACGGCCCAGACUCCUACGGGUGGCAG
rnacentral:rRNA from 1 species